rnacentral:rRNA from 1 species
CAAUUGCGUAUAUUUAAGUUGCUGCAGUUAAAAAGCUCGUAGUUGGAUUUCGGGUGGGAAUGGCCGGUCCGCCGUUUCGGUGUGCACUUGCUACGCCCACCUUGCUGCCGGGGACGUGCUCUUGAGUUCACGCUCGGGACACGGAGUCGGCGAGGUUACUUUGAGUAAAUUAGAGUGUUCAAAGCAGGCCUACGCUCUGAAUACAUUAGCAUGGAAUAACACGAUAGGACUCUGGCCUAUCUUGUUGGUCUGUAGGACCGGAGUAAUGAUUAAGAGGGACAGUCGGGGGCAUUCGUAUUUCAUUGUCAGAGGUGAAAUUCUUGGAUUUAUGAAAGACGAACUACUGCGAAAGCAUUUGCCAAGGAUGUUUUCAUUAA